rnacentral:ncRNA from 1 species
GGAGAGUCGGAUACUUUGAGAGUAGUGUCUUAAGGGGGUGGUAUGUCCCAUCCAAGGCUAAAUAACGUGAGGAGACCGAUAGAUUACAAGUAGUGUGAACGAAAGAUGAAAAGAACUCUAAAACAGAGGGUGAAAAGUUCCUGAACUUGCUUAGGGUUAAGGCUAUUUAUAGUACCCGUCUUGAAACACGGAUUAGGGAGUUUAUCUGUAGUGCGAGUCUUUGCACGUUAACUGUAAAGGCGUAGAGAAAGCAACUGGCGUUUGCAUGGCUACUGAGCAUUACUGAUAGGACCCGAAAGGUGGUGAACUUUGCCUGCACAGGUUGAAGUCAGGGGAAACUCUGAUGGAGGACCGUACGGGUUAUUGAUGUGCAAAUCAUUUUUCUGAUGUAGGUAAAGGUGCGAAAGACUCAUCGAACCACCUAAUAGCUGGUUUCCUCCGAAGUUUCCCUCAGGAUAGCUGUAAUGCAUUUAGUUAAGGGGAGUAGAGAUAUGGGUAGAGGUGCAGGGAGCCUUCGGGUUCUCAACUUAUUUCCAAACUUCGAACCUCCUUGUUAGGCAUUUACCUAACUGGAAAUGCUUAAAUGAAUUAGCGUUACAAGUGGGCUCUGACCGGUAAGCGGUCAUGGCGAAAUGGGAUGAACCAUACGUCUGAAUAAGGUGCCGAAAUGUACUAUCACUGAUACCAUAAAGGGAGUCCAUGUAUUUAGACAGCAGGUCGGUGCCCCUAAAAGCAGGUAUCCGCUAAAGAGUGUGUUAAAACUCACCUGCCGAAUACUAGGGCCCCGAAAAUGAAUGGCGCAUAUAGUACUACCGAUCUCAGACAUCAGUUCUAUUGAAAUGAGAGUAGGGGGAUGUGGACAUUUUUGUGAAGGUGCAAUGUGA